CUUGCUUCUUCUGGAUCAGUGGCGAACGGGUGAGUAACACGUGAGUAACCUGCCCUUGACUCUGGGAUAAGCGUUGGAAACGACGUCUAAUACCGGAUACGACCUUUGAAGGCAUCUUCUAAAGGUGGAAAGAAUUUUGGUCAAGGAUGGACUCGCGGCCUAUCAGCUAGUUGGUGAGGUAACGGCCCACCAAGGCGACGACGGGUAGCCGGCCUGAGAGGGUGACCGGCCACACUGGGACUGAGACACGGCCCAGACUCCUACGGGAGGCAGCAGUGGGGAAUAUUGCACAAUGGGCGAAAGCCUGAUGCAGCAACGCCGCGUGAGGGACGACGGCCUUCGGGUUGUAAACCUCUUUUAGUAGGGAAGAAGCGAAAGUGACGGUACCUGCAGAAAAAGCACCGGCUAACUACGUGCCAGCAGCCGCGGUAAUACGUAGGGUGCAAGCGUUAUCCGGAAUUAUUGGGCGUAAAGAGCUCGUAGGCGGUUUGUCGCGUCUGCUGUGAAAACUGGAGGCUCAACCUCCAGCCUGCAGUGGGUACGGGCAGACUAGAGUGCGGUAGGGGAGAUUGGAAUUCCUGGUGUAGCGGUGGAAUGCGCAGAUAUCAGGAGGAACACCGAUGGCGAAGGCAGAUCUCUGGGCCGUAACUGACGCUGAGGAGCGAAAGCAUGGGGAGCGAACAGGAUUAGAUACCCUGGUAGUCCAUGCCGUAAACGUUGGGAACUAGAUGUAGGGACCAUUCCACGGUUUCUGUGUCGCAGC
rnacentral:rRNA from 1 species